UGUUUUCUAUUCAUUAUUAUUGCAUUCGCUUUGUGCGAGGAGUGGUUAUCGACGUUUCCUUCGAGAAAGCAUUCAAUUCAUGUUUAUAUACGAAACGGUUAUCUCUUUCGUCGUCGCUCUAACCGCAUGCACGCUCGCCUACAUUCGCAUUAACGAUAACGGAUUACAAUUUUCCACAAGUUUUCUCAACACAGUCAAUUACUCGUGCGCGAUAACGCUUUAUGCAUGAUAUGCAUUAUUCCCAUAAAUACGUGCGAUGAGCAUUACCAUUGCCGUUUCCAAGUUAUAUUUCAGUCAAUCGAGUCUCUUAUAUUUUUCAUUUGCAACUCUUCCCCUUCAUUCAAUCGAUACAAUUACCCUCUAGAUUGUAUUCUCCAUCGCGCUCUGUUGCCAAUCAUUCCUCCAAGUCUAUAUAACCUCUGGAAAUGUCUUCUGUUCCGUAGAUUAUUCAUGGAGAAUGUGCACCAUGGGGGCUUCAAGUUUUUCGACUAUACAAAUAAAUAUUCGGUGUGUGCCUAUAUAAUCUCACACUCUUCUUCUUGACUCGCGUAUCUUGACGACUCUCUGCAAGAUGCUUCGACGCUAUCCUGACUUUUCUACUUUGUUGGAACAAACGUAUCGACCAGCGUUGCGGUGCAAAUAUUAUGCAUCGUUCCUUUUAAUUAUCCGAGCCCGACAGGCAGCAUGCGCUAUGGCAUUGCAAUUAUUGCAUUGUUGCCUAUUACGAGUAUCCUCCCCACCGGAUUCUUGUCAUCCACCGGAGAAUCUGUCAAAUUGUAAAAGUUUCUUAUCCGACCAAGGAUCACGACGGUAGCCGUUAUCAAACACCGCUGGGGGAAGAAACAACGACGACGCACCACCCACCACCGAUUCGACUUCUUCGCGUCGAUUGCCUCGCACAAGUAUUUCCGUGUUUCCUCAUCACGGAUCAAGGAUUUCCACACGAUGACAGGCGGUCAGUCACGAAUCCUCUCGAGAGCAAUCGAAAAUUUGGGUUUGUCAUCAUUGACGUCGGGUCUAAAGAAUGCGAAAAUUACACGUCGAGACGCACCAGCUUUACGAAAAACUUCGCCCAACCACCAGUUCUUCGCUUCUCCAAGAGUUCUCCAAGAAAAUGGCUCUCAAUCACGAAUUGCUCCAUCAUAUCCAAAGAUUAUUCGUCUGUGAUAGUAUUCUAAUAUCAGGGAAAUAUGGCAGCGGAAAAGCAUUCCGAACUGAAUCAUUUUCCGCACGCCAUCAUAUGUCGUGUCAAAAUCUGCUCAAGUAAUUUUUAUCCAGCUUUGAGUCUAGUCAAAAUGUCGUAUCAACGCAUUUGAGGAGAAUGGAAUUUCCUAAAAAAAAAAAAAACAAAAUUUUAUCAACUACUAUUCUCGCGAAAUCCAUUGUCCCCCCCCCCCCCCCCCACUCGUUUCGUUUUGACCAAUCUUCUCUAGACUCCUUUGUGAUUAAGCAGUCAUUUUUAAAUGAUGAUUUUUCUUGUGCGUGGAUACUCUUUUUUACUGUCCAGUAUAUAUACAACGUACGUAAAUAGUACUAUGACACAUAAACAGAAACAAGUGUAUUUUUUUUUGUCAAGUUAUAAAUCAGAGUUAUAUAUCGCAGCUUAUAUUGAAAGUGUUUCAACCUCAUCCCCAUUCAUACUAAUAUUAUGGCGGCGUAACGAUGAGUCGUGUGAACCCCUCGUAGUAUAUUUGUCUAUUACGUAAAUGAAAAAGAAAAAUUAACAUUUUUUAUAUUUAUGUACGUUCGUUUAGAUGGGCGUGCGCGCUUAGUUGGUACAUUCAAAUUAUUGUCAAGCUUUGUAAACAAUUACAAUAAAAGAGCUUUAUUUAUUCGAUGUAACAA